CACGUAGGGGGCAAGCGUUGUCCGGAUUUAUUGGGCGUAAAGAGCUCGUAGGCGGCUCAGUAAGUCGGGUGUGAAACCUCCAGGCUCAACCUGGAGACGCCACCCGAUACUGCUGUGGCUUGAGUCCGGUAGGGGAGCGUGGAAUUCCUGGUGUAGCGGUGAAAUGCGCAGAUAUCAGGAGGAACACCAGCGGCGAAGGCGGCGCUCUGGGCCGGAACUGACGCUGAGGCGCGAAAGCCAGGGGAGCAAACGGG
rnacentral:rRNA from 1 species